rnacentral:lncRNA from 1 species
UGAAGUUAUGGGUCCUGCAGUAGGUCUAUGUUGUUGUUAGGUGAAGUUAUGGGUCCUACAGUAGGUCUAUGUUGUUGUUAGGUGGAGUUAUGGGUCCUACAGUAGGUCUAUGUUAUUGUUAGGUGGAGUUAUGGGUCCUACAGUAGGUCUAUGUUGUUGUUAGGUGAAGUUAUGGGUCCUACAGUAGGUCUAUGUUGUUGUUAGGCGGAGUUAUGGGUCUUACAGUAGGUCUAUGUUAUUGUUAGGUGAAGUUAUGGGUCCUGCAGUAGGUCUAUGUUGUUGUUGUUAGGUGAAGUUAUGGGUCCUACAGUAGGUCUAUGUUGUUGUUAGGUGAAGUUAUGGGUCCUACAUGUUAUUUUUUUUCACACUUACCUAUUGGUGUGUAGCCCUAACAUUCCAAGGCAUUUGUGGACAUUCUAUAGCAAUAGAGUGGGAAAGCUGCUGUGUGUUUGGAGAAUUAAUAGACUCUGCAGUAAAUACAACCUGAUAAAACAUCUCUCUCGUCUACACAUUCCGAUGCGCAAUAGCCAAUCAGAGCCACAGUAGACCUUAAAACAAACAAGCCAUUUGCACAUAGGCCUGCCAUCAUUUACUUAGAACUGGACUGUGUGUUUACAGGCAGUUGGGCCUGCCAUCAUUCACUUAGAACUGGACUGUGUGUUUACAGGCAGUUGGGCCUGACAUCAUUCACUUUGAACUGGACUGUGUGUUUACAGGCAGUUGGGCCUGACAUCAUUCACUUUGAAC